AUUGAACGCUGGCGGCAGGCUUAACACAUGCAAGUCGAGCGAGCGGCGGACGGGUGAGUAAUGUCUGGGAAACUGCCUGAUGGAGGGGGAUAACUACUGGAAACGGUAGCUAAUACCGCAUACCAUCAGAUGUGCCCAGAUGGGAUUAGCUAGUAGGUGGGGUAAUGGCUCACGUAGGCGACGAUCCCUUGCUGGUAUGAGAGGAUGACACGCCACACUGUAACUGAGACACGGUCCAGACUCCGAAGUGAGGCAGCAGUGGGGAAGAUUGCACAAGGGGCGCAAGCCUGAUGCAGCCAUGCCGCGGGUGUGAAGAAGGCCGUCGGGUUGUAAAGCACUUUCAGCGAGGAGGCGUUACUCGCAGAAGAAGCACCGGCUAACUCCGUGCCAGCAGCCGCGGUAAUUC
rnacentral:rRNA from 1 species